rnacentral:rRNA from 1 species
GCUUGUCUCAAAGAUUAAGCCAUGCAUGUCUAAGUAUGAACAACUUUAUACUGUGAAACUGCGAAUGGCUCAUUAAAUCAGCUAUUGUUUAUUUGAUAGUACCUCACUACUUGGAUAACCGUAGUAAUUCUAGAGCUAAUACAUGCGAAAAGACGCGACUCACGAAGCGUUGUAUUUAUUAGAUACAAAACCAAUGCGGGGCAACCCGGUAUAAGGUGAUUCAUAAUAACUUUGGGCUGAUCGUAUGGCCUUGUGCCGACGACGUUUCCUUCGAAGGUGUGCCCUAUCAACUGUCGACUGUGAUAUAGACGCUCACAGUGGUUUUGACGGGUAACGGGGAAUCAGGGUUCGAUUCCGGAGAGGGAGCCUUAAAAACGGCUACCACAUCCAAGGAAGGCAGCAGG